CUUCACCGAUCCCGUCAGCAGCGGCCGAUCGGCCGGGCGGUCGCGGCCGUAGGUCGUUAGCAGGGCCUGCGCCUC
rnacentral:antisense_RNA from 1 species